CCUACGGGCGACAGCAGUGAGGAAUAUUGGUCAAUGGCCGAGAGGCUGAACCAGCCAAGUCGCGUGAGGGAAGACGGCCCUACGGGUUGUAAACCUCUUUUGUCGGGGAGCAAAGCGAACCACGUGUGGUUCAUUGAGAGUACCCGAAGAAAAAGCAUCGGCUAACUCCGUGCCAGCAGCCGCGGUAAUACGGAGGAUGCGAGCGUUAUCCGGAUUUAUUGGGGUAAAGGGGUGCGCAGGCGGAGGUGCAAGUCAGCGGUCAAAUUGCGGGGCUCAACCCCGUACUGCAGUUGAAACUGCAUCCCUUGAGUGCGCGAGAAGUAGGCGGAAUGCGUGGUGUAGCGGUGAAAUGCGUAGAUAUCACGCAGAACUCCGAUUGCGAAGGCAGCAUCCCGGCG
rnacentral:rRNA from 1 species